rnacentral:rRNA from 1 species
GAUGAACGCUGGCGGCGUGCCUAAUACAUGCAAGUCGAGCGAACAGACGAGGAGCUUGCUCCUCUGACGUUAGCGGCGGACGGGUGAGUAACACGUGGAUAACCUACCUAUAAGACUGGGAUAACUUCGGGAAACCGGAGCUAAUACCGGAUAAUAUAUUGAACCGCAUGGUUCAAUAGUGAAAGACGGUUUUGCUGUCACUUAUAGAUGGAUCCGCGCCGCAUUAGCUAGUUGGUAAGGUAACGGCUUACCAAGGCAACGAUGCGUAGCCGACCUGAGAGGUUGAUCGGCCACACUGGAACUGAGACACGGUCCAGACUCCUACGGGAGGCAGCAGUAGGGAAUCUUCCGCAAUGGGCGAAAGCCUGACGGAGCAACGCCGCGUGAGUGAUGAAGUUCUGCGGAUCGUAAAACUCUGUUAUUAGGGAAGAACAAAUGUGUAAGUAACUAUGCACGUCUGGACGGUACCUAAUCAGAAAGCCACGGCUAACUACGU